rnacentral:rRNA from 1 species
UCGAGGAUCAUUCGCAAUGGGCGAAAGCCUGACGAUGCGACGCCGUGUGAGCGAUGAAGGCCUUCGGGUUGUAAAGCUCUUUCGCUUGGGAACAAGGAAAUGUAGUGAAUAACUAUGUGACUUGAGGGUACCAGGUAAAGAAGCACCGGCUAACUCCGUGCCAGCAGCUGCGGUAAUACGGAGGGUGCAAGCAUUAAUCGGAAUUAUUGGGCGUAAAGGGCGCGUAGGCGGAUUUGUAAGUCAGAUGUGAAAUUCCGAAGCUCAACUUCGGAGCUGCAUUUGAAACUGCGAGUCUAGAGGGAUGGCGGAGAAAAUGGAAUUCCACGUGUAGCGGUGAAAUGCGUAGAUAUGUGGAAGAACACCAGUGGCGAAGGCGAUUUUCUAGCUUUUACCUGACGCUGAGGCGCGAGAGCAAGGGGAGCAAACAGGAUUAGAUACCCCUGUAGUCC